AUUGAACGCUGGCGGCAUGCCUUACACAUGCAAGUCGAACGGUAACGGGCCUUCGGGUGCCGACGAGUGGCGAACGGGUGAGUAAUGCAUCGGAACGUACCUUUCAGUGGGGGAUAACGUAGCGAAAGUUACGCUAAUACCGCAUAUUCUGUGAGCAGGAAAGCAGGGGAUCGCAUGACCUUGCGCUGAUUGAGCGGCCGAUGUCAGAUUAGCUAGUUGGUGAGGUAAAGGCUCACCAAGGCGACGAUCUGUAGCGGGUCUGAGAGGAUGAUCCGCCACACUGGAACUGAGACACGGUCCAGACUCCUACGGGAGGCAGCAGUGGGGAAUUUUGGACAAUGGGGGCAACCCUGAUCCAGCCAUGCCGCGUGAGUGAAGAAGGCCUUCGGGUUGUAAAGCUCUUUCGGCCGGGAAGAAAUCGUAUGGGCUAAUACCCUGUGCGGAUGACGGUACCGGCAUAAGAAGCACCGGCUAACUACGUGCCAGCAGCCGCAGUAACAC
rnacentral:rRNA from 1 species